GCUUGGGAAUCUGGCUUAUGGAGGGGGAUAACUACGGGAAACUGUAGCUAAUACCGCGUAGAAUCGGAAGAUGAAAGUGCGGGACCGCAAGGCCGCAUGCCAUGAGAUGAGCCCAAGUGGGAUUAGGUAGUUGGUGGGGUAAAGGCCUACCAAGCCUGCGAUCUCUAGCUGGUCUGAGAGGAUGGCCAGCCACACUGGAACUGAGACACGGUCCAG
rnacentral:rRNA from 1 species